rnacentral:rRNA from 1 species
UACGGAGGAUCCAAGCGUUAUCCGGAAUCAUUGGGUUUAAAGGGUGCGUAGGAGGGCAGGUAAGUCAGUGGUGAAAUCCCCGAGCUUAACUUGGGAACUGCCGUUGAUACUAUCUGUCUUGAAUACCGUGGAGGUGAGCGGAAUAUGUCAUGUAGCGGUGAAAUGCUUAGAUAUGACAUAGAACACCAAAUUGCGAAGGCAGCUCGCUACACGAAUAUUGACUCUGAGGCACGAAAGCGUGGGGAUCAAACAG